rnacentral:misc_RNA from 1 species
AAAGGGUUAUCUUUAUUUUUUCUACAUAAAAAAAAAGGUCAAAGUGGGGCCCACUAGUCAAUCAAAGCCUUAGUCAAAAUGGAAAGUCCCAAUUAGCAUGCCACUUAGGAUUGGGCACCUCUCAGAUCACAGACUCCAAUACCAUGCCUCUCACAUCACAUUAUAAAACCAAAAUCAAUAAAAUCAGAACUAGCCAAAACAGAAAAGUCUGCAAAUUUAUAUUUGAUUAGUUACUCUUAUAAAUAUGGGCAGGUGGGAUUAGGUGUGCUAUUGAAUCUAGAUCAUCAGUUCCAACCAAAUCAAAUUGAUUUAUGUAGUUUGAUUUGAUUUAUAUAGGGAGGAAAAUCGAUUUGCAAUUUCAAUUUAGUUUCUAAUUUUUAGGAGGCUGAAACAAACCAUAAAUUUAACUACACAAAUAUAUGCAUUAAUGUUAUGUUCAUUUAUCAAACAACAUUUUUAUCCUAAAAGGAUGCUAAGAAAUUAUUUAAGCUUAACCAAGAACAUUUUUACCCUAGAAAGAUGCCAAGGAAAAGAUUAUAUCUAUUUAGAUAAUUUGAUUUAGGUAUAAUAAAAUAUCAUAUAAACACGCAUUUAUAUUUAGGGAAAUUUACAAUUUGGUCCCUGAGUUUUGCCAUAUAUUACACUCCCUGAUUUUUGAGAAAUUAAUUAUUUAAUCCUUCAUUUUUGCACUAUAUUACACUUUAAUGCCUGAAUUUUAAGAAAUAAAUUAUUUAGUCCCUUUAAUUUUAAUAUACGGAAUAAUUUAGUUCCUGUAAUGUAAUUUUAAUGUUUACAAUAAUUUCAUUCAUUGACAGAAUGACUAAACUGUUUUAUAUAUUAAAGUUACAGGGACUAAAGUGUGAUAUAACGCAAAAUAUAGGGACUAAAUAAUUAAUUUCAAAAGUCUAAGGACUAAAUAAUUAAAUUUCCUAAAGUGUAAUAUAGGGCAAAACCCAGGAACCAAAUUGUAAAUUUUCUUUAUAUUUAUGUAUAAACGAACGAAACUAAUACACUAUUUCUUGUUCUCUGUCUCUGACAUGUGU